GACCUCAAUCCGGAAGACCCA
rnacentral:rRNA from 1 species